UUGCUUCUGCAGCAGAGUAAAAUUUAAAUGAAACGGAGAAGAUUAGCAUGGUCCCUACAUAAAGAUGACACAUGAAUUCAUGUAUAUAUAUAUUCCAUAUUUUU